UUUAAUGAAAUUUAAGGGAGGAGAACCCAACAUAACAUUAAUUGUUGAUAAUUAAUAAAAAUCUAUUAUGAAUUAUUAAGUUCAUAAACAAAUUACUUUGGAUUUUUACAAUAAUGCUUCGUUUAAACUGCAGGCUAUUAAUAAUAGCUUUAUUAAAUUUAUUUUUUAUAGGAAACUUUUUAAAUUGAAAAUACAUGAGUUAAGAAGAA
rnacentral:lncRNA from 1 species